rnacentral:rRNA from 1 species
GAUGAACGCUAGCGGCAGGCUUAAUACAUGCAAGUCGAGGGACAGCACAGGUAGCAAUACUGGGUGGUAACCGGCAAACGGGUGCGGAACACGUACACAACCUUCCUUUAAGUGGAGGAUAGCCCAGAGAAAUUUGGAUUAAUACCCCGUAAUAUAGUUGAAUGGCAUCAUUUGAUUAUUAUAGCUACGGCGCUUAAUGAUGGGUGUGCGGCUGAUUAGAUAGUUGGCGGGAUAACGGCCCACCAAGUCUACGAUCAGUAGCUGAUGUGAGAGCAUGAUCAGCCACACGGGCACUGAGACACGGGCCCGACUCCUACGGGAGGCAGCAGUAAGGAAUAUUGGUCAAUGGACGCAAGUCUGAACCAGCCAUGCCGCGUGAAGGAUUAAGGUCCUCUGGAUUGUAAACUUCUUUUAUUUGGGACGAAAAAGGGCCUUUCUAGGUCAACUGACGGUACCAGAUGAAUAAGCACCGGCUAACUCCGUGCCAGCCGCCGCAGUAA